rnacentral:rRNA from 1 species
ACGCUCGACACCUACGGGACAGCAGUGGGGAAUAUUGCACAAUGGGGGAAACCCUGAUGCAGCGACGCCGCGUGAGCGAAGAAGUAUUUCGGUAUGUAAAGCUCUAUCAGCAGGGAAGAAACUGACGGUACCUGACUAAGAAGCACCGGCUAAAUACGUGCCAGCAGCCGCGGUAAUCUGAGCGGGCUGGCAAGGC